UACGUAGGGGGCAAGCGUUGUCCGGAUUUAUUGGGCGUAAAGAGCUCGUAGGUGGUUCGGUAAGUCGGAUGUGAAAUCUCCAGGCUCAACCUGGAGGGGUCAUUCGAUACUGCCGUGACUAGAGUUCGGUAGGGGAGUGUGGAAUUCCCGGUGUAGCGGUGAAAUGCGUAGAUAUCGGAAGGAACACCAGUGGCGAAAGCGGCUUCCUGGUCCAGCACCGACGUCAGGCACGAAAGCGUGGGGAGCAAACAGG
rnacentral:rRNA from 1 species